rnacentral:rRNA from 1 species
UACGAAGGGGGCUAGCGUUGCUCGGAAUUUCUGGGCGUAAAGGGCGCGUAGGCGGAUAGUUCAGUUGGGGGUGAAAGCCCGGGGCUCAACCUCGGAACUGCCUUCAAUACUGGCUAUCUUGAGUACGGGAGAGGUGUGUGGAACUCCGAGUGUAGAGGUGAAAUUCGUAGAUAUUCGGAAGAACACCAGUGGCGAAGGCGACACACUGGCCCGUUACUGACGCUGAGGCGCGAAAGCGUGGGGAGCAAACAGG